GACGAACGCUGGCGGCGUGCUUAACACAUGCAAGUCGAACGGAAAGGCCUGCUUUCCCUUGUGGAUUGCGGGUACUCGAGUGGCGAACGGGUGAGUAACACGUGAGUGAUCUGCCCCCAACUUGGGUAUAAGCCUGGGAAACUGGGUCUAAUUCCCGAUAGGACUGCAGGGUGGUGCCUGUGGUGGAAAACGAUUUUCUAGUGGUUGGGGAUGAGCUCGCGGCCUAUCAGCUUGUUGGUGGGGUAAUGGCCUACCAAGGCGGCGACGGGUAGCCGGCCUGAGAGUGUGGACGGUCGCAUUGGGACUGAGAUACGGCCCAGACUCCUACGGGAGGCAGCAGUGGGGAAUAUUGCGCAAUGGGCGGAAGCCUGAUGCAGCGACGCCGCGUGGGGGAUGACGGGCUUCGGGUUGUAAACUCCUUUCGACCGCGAGGAAGCCACCUGGUUGGAAGGGUGGUGACGGUAGUGGUAGAAGAAGCACCGGCUAACUACGUG
rnacentral:rRNA from 1 species